CAGUAGCCGCGGGAAUACGUAGGUGGCAAGCGUUGUCCGGAAUUAUUGGGCGUAAAGCGCGCGCAGGCGGUUGUGUAAGACAGGUGUGAAAUCCCCGGGCUUAACCUGGGAACUGCGCUUGUGACUGCACAGCUAGAGUAUGGCAGAGGGGGGUGGAAUUCCACGUGUAGCAGUGAAAUGCGUAGAGAUGUGGAGGAACACCGAUGGCGAAGGCAGCCCCCUGGGCCAAUACUGACGCUCAUGCACGAAAGCGUGGGGAGCAAACAGGAUUAGAUACCCGAGUAGUCCCUGUCUCUUAUAA
rnacentral:rRNA from 1 species